GAUGAACGCUAGCUACAGGCUUAACACAUGCAAGUCGAGGGGUAACGAGAGGAAAGCUUGCUUUCCUUGUCGACGACCGGCGCACGGGUGAGUAACGCGUAUCCAACCUGCCCCCAACUAGGGAAUAACCUUGCGAAAGUAAGACUAAUACCCUAUAAUUUCCUCAGAUGUCAUCUGACGAGGAAUAAAGAUUUAUCGGUUGUGGAUGGGGAUGCGUCUGAUUAGCUUGUUGGCGGGGUAACGGCCCACCAAGGCAACGAUCAGUAGGGGUUCGGAGAGGAAGGACCCCCACAUUGGAACUGAGACACGGUCCAAACACCUACGGGAGGCAGGAGUGAGGAAUAUUGGUCAAUGGGCGGAAGCCUGAACCAGCCAAGUAGCGUGCACGAUGACGGCCCUAUGGGUUGUAAACUGCUUUUAUACAGGAAUAAAGUUAGCCACGUGUGGUUAUUUGUAGGUACUGUAUGAAUAAGGACCGGCUAAUUCCGUGCCAGCAGCCGCAGUAA
rnacentral:rRNA from 1 species